UCUGGCCGAGUUGUACUUUGCAGAGGAUGUUUUGGAAUCUGUCUCGUUUAAAGUCCUUUGGAACAGGGCGUCAUGGAGGGUGAAAAUCCCGUCUUCUCGAUGACAGUCUCCGCGUAAAACUCCUUCGAAGAGUCGAGUUGUUUGGGAAUGCAGCUCUAAGUGGGAGGUAAAUUUCUUCCAAAGCUAAAUAUCUGCUAGAGACCGAUAGCGGACAAGUAGAGUGAUCGAAAGAUGAAAAGCACUUUGAAAAGAGAGUUAAAAAGCACGUGAAAUUGUUGAAAGGGAAGCUUAUGUCAUCAGACAUGAUGUUCGAGUUCAGCCUUUUGGUGUAUUCUCGAGUGUCAGGCUAGCAUCAGUUUGGGUUGCUGGAUAAAAGCUUCGGGAAUGUAACUCCUCGGAGUGUUAUAGCCCGAUUCAGAAUGCGGCAAACUCAGACUGAGGUCCGCUUAUAGGAUGCU
rnacentral:rRNA from 1 species